rnacentral:snoRNA from 1 species
UCAACGUGGAUAAUCUCAAUGGAUUGACACCCAUUGAGCUCUGUCCAAGUGGUUUGGAGCCAACUGAUGAUCCUUUCUCUCUCUUGAGAUUAAAGGGUUGUCAUUAUGAGGUGCAGUCCCUCCACAACGUUGUAUAUAAACUACUGCCGCUGUCUUACCUAAGAUAAGCUGAGCAGGCAAUGGCAUAUUCCUGUUCCUUCCAUAGCUCCUAGUGGGCAUUAAUUGGAGAGAGAAACCAUGCUAGUGACACUA